rnacentral:misc_RNA from 1 species
AAGUCGUAACAAGGUUUCCGUAGGUGAACCUGCGGAAGGAUCAUUACAGAGUAGCGGUGCCCUCGGGCGCCUACUCCCACCCUUUGUGAACUUAAAACCAGUUGCUUUGGCGGGCCGGGUGCCUAGGCGCCGCCGGCCUUGGCUGGAGAGCGCCCGCCAGAGGAUCGUUUUAACCCUGCUCACGGUGACAUCUGAGUACAUGAAAAAUUGAAUCAAAACUUUCAACAACGGAUCUCUUGGUUCUG